AUUGAACGCUAGCGGGAUGCUUUACACAUGCAAGUCGAACGAGUGGCGGACGGGUGAGUAAUAUAUCGGAACGUGCCCAGUAGCGGGGGAUAACUACUCGAAAGAGUGGCUACUACCGCAUACUAUUGGAGCGGCCGAUAUCGGAUUAGCUAGUUGGCGGGGUAAAGGCUCACCAAGGCAACGAUCCGUAGCUGGUUUGAGAGGACGACCGGCCACACUGGGACUGAGACACGGCCCAUACCCCGUCGUGAGGCAGCAGUAGAAAAUUUUGGGCAAGGGGGGGAACCCUGAUACAGCAGUCACGCGUGUAUGAGAAGGCUCUAGGGUUGAAAAGUACUGUCAGGCGGGAGGCGUUACCGACAGAAGAAGCACCGUCUAACUCCGUGCCAGCUGCCGCGGUAAUAC
rnacentral:rRNA from 1 species